ACACAGGUAAAUAGAAGUAUGUUUUGGUCCAGAUAGGAUUACUUUUAAUAGUUCGUUGAUCCUGUUUCAGAUCUCUCCGAUUGUAGCGGGUGAACUUUCCUGAGAAAAUCUCACAGCAAGUAAUUCAACUACUUCCAAGUAUGAACUUCCCGCUUCGAGAAGAUGUUAAUAUCAGCGGUCUUUUUUAUCAUUUGCAGGAAUAUCACCGUGGUGUGCUGCUGUCUGCCAAUCGUACCAAAAGCGUAGCAUGGAAUUUAACUCAGCUGUAAAUUCUGCCCCACGUCGGCCACGUCAGGCUCCUUGAACAGUUUCGUCCCUUAUUAAGGAAUAUCACAGUGGUGUGCUGGUGUCUGCCAAUCAAAAACGUAGCAUGAGAUUUAACGCAGCUGGAUCCUGCCCCACGUCAGGCUACUCGAACACUUUUGUCCCUUGAGAUGGAGGGAGAGUACUAGAUGCCGACAUGGACCUGCUCUGUGUCGCCGUCACAGGAACAGUACAAGCUGUGCAGACCGACUCGCCACUCUGAACGACUUUGGAAAGCGAAGAAUUGGCACAUGCUCUGUAUAUUUCUAAUCUUUUUUUGUAUUAAACUCCGUUUACAAAAUUUUGGUGGUUA